rnacentral:rRNA from 1 species
UACGUAGGGGGCAAGCGUUGUCCGGAUUUAUUGGGCGUAAAGAGCUCGUAGGCUGUUCGAUAAGUCGGGUGUGAAACCUCCAGGCUCAACCUGGAGACGCCACCCGAUACUGUCAUGACUAGAGUCCGGUAGGGGAGCGUGGAAUUCCUGGUGUAGUGGUGAAAUGCGCAGAUAUCAGGAGGAACACCAGCGGCGAAGGCGGCGCUCUGGGCCGGUACUGACGCUGAGGAGCGAAAGCGUGGGUAGCAAACAGG